AAGCAAUUAACAUAUUAAUUAAAUUUUACCUCUGCUUGUGUUCGGUGGACCAAAAGAAGUAGAUGCCAGGGAGAAUGAUCAGCAGGAGCAGACGGACUAGGGGAGAAGCAUAGACUGAAGAAUGUGGACUGAUUGAUGAAGCAGAGCAUCCAUUGUGCAUAUGUACUGACCCACUGGAUUAGAGAGGGGGCAGAGUGAUGAGGGCUGCAGUAACAGUAAUGCCCACCAACAGCUGGAUAUUGCUCUCGAGUAACACACAAACACCCAUUCACGCCUAGUCUUUGUUUUGAUCUUUAUGUCAAGACACCUUCAGUCCAAUAUCUCAACCUCUUACACAGCGUAAGACAUGACAUAAUGCAUUUCGUAUUCCAAAUCUACCAUUAAUUAUUGCUGAGGCUUUAGGCAUGACACUGAAAGCAUCUUUGCCUGGUGCAAGUCUUUCUUCUAUGAUACAAAAUAUUCAUGUUUCUCUCAAACCAGAAAAAUGAAUGCCCGUUCCCUUUGUAGAAUAAAUUAUGAAAUUCACUUUAUCAUUCAUUCUUUCCAGUGGAGCUCUUGUUAUCUGAUGCAACCAAGAAUCAAUAAUAAAGAAAUGGUGGGUAUUUGUUAUAAUGUCCUGAGGCUCAGCAUUAGUGACAAGGAUAUUUCUAACUACCAACUAAUAAAUGGAUCUUGAUUUAAUGAAAUUUGUGUAUUAAGAGGUCCUGUUCUGUCAACCAAAGGGGAUUCGAUUCGAUCUGUCCUGUUCAUGUCAUGAAAUGCUUCAUUUCACCUUUCCUCAAAGCAAUUGAUGCCAGCUAGCCCUAGACCUCCACAAUUAAGGGGACCAGCAGGAAGCAUUCUAUUAGUGAUCGUUGGAAGGAAUAAGGAUCAGCCCCAAAGUGAGUUAAUUGAUCUUCUAGUAAGACACAGGCUUCAAAAUUGGCUGGUAGUAGCAACACCCAGGCCACCAACACCACUGAGCCACCCCAGAUGGUUGGUUCAGUGGUUGGGAACCAACCAUAAGCUGAACUUGUGAGACACUUCAUCAAGAUUUCUGCACUUGAGCCAAAGAAGCUGGAGUAUUAACUCCUUGGAUGUUUCAGUCACAAUAUGUGCAAUAAAGAAACCACCCACA